AUUGGACGCUGGCGGCAGGCUUAACACAUGCAAGUCGAGCGGGGUAAUGUAGCUUGCUACAUUACCUAGCGGCGGACGGGUGAGUAAUGCUUAGGAAUCUGCCUAUUAGUGGGGGACCACAUUCCGAAAGGAAUGCUAAUACCGCAUAAGCCCUACGGGGGAAAGCAGGGGACCUUCGGACCUUGCGUUAAUAGAUGAGCCUAAGUCAGAUUAGCUAGUUGGUGGGGUAAAGGCCUACCAAGGCGACGAUCUGUAGCGGGUCUGAGAGGAUGAUCCGCCACACUGGGACUGAGACACGGCCCAGACUCCUACGGGAGGCAGCAGUGGGGAAUAUUGGACAAUGGGCGAAAGCCUGAUCCAGCCAUGCCGCGUGUGUGAAGAAGGCCUUUUGGUUGUAAAGCACUUUAAGCGAGGAGGAGGCUACCGAGAUUAAUACUCUUGGAUAGUGGACGUUACUCGCAGAAUAAGCACCGGCUAACUCUGUGCCAGCCGCCGCCGUAAUAC
rnacentral:rRNA from 1 species